AUUGAACGCUGGCGGCAGGCCUAACACAUGCAAGUCGAACGGUAACAGGAAGAAGCUUGCUUCUUUGCUGACGAGUGGCGGACGGGUGAGUAAUGUCUGGGAAACUGCCUGAUGGAGGGGGAUAACUACUGGAAACGGUAGCUAAUACCGCAUAACGUCGCAAGACCAAAGAGGGGGACCUUCGGGCCUCUUUCCAUCGGAUGUGCCCAGAUGGGAUUAGCUAGUAGGUGGGGUAACGGCUCACCUAGGCGACGAUCCCUAGCUGGUCUGAGAGGAUGACCAGCCACACUGGAACUGAGACACGGUCCAGACUCCUACGGGGGGCAGCAGUGGGGAAUAUUGCACAAUGGGCGCAAGCCUGAUGCAGCCAUGCCGCGUGUAUGAAGAAGGCCUUCGGGUUGUAAAGUACUUUCAGCGGGGAGGAAGGGAGUAAAGUUAAUACCUUUGCUCAUUGACGUUACCCGCAGAAGAAGCACCGGCUAACUCCGUG
rnacentral:rRNA from 1 species